GCUGGCGUAGCUUAAUUAAAGCAUA
rnacentral:tRNA from 14 species